UCCUUUUCUACUAAUCCUUCUGCUUACCCAUUUUAUUUCUCAGUCAGCACCAGAUAUUAAGAAAAAGUUAAGAAAGGUUGAGGAGGGUCCCCAAAUCCCUAUACAGGAAUUGGUGAAGAUGGCCUUUAAAGUUUUUAAUGCCUGUGAAGAAACAGCUGAGUCUUCCCAUGGGAAAAAGCUGCAACAGGCAGCUAACCUUACAGGCCCACACCUUAGCAGCUGCCCUAAGGUUGCAGGAAGGUGGACAAGGAAACCCAACCACAAGGUUCAACCCUGGUGCAGCCCAGCCUAAGUUGACCUCACAGGCAAGCUGUUUCAAGUGUGGCCUAAAUGGUCACGUGGCAUAAUAUUGCACUAUGCCUCCUCUGAGGUUAUACCCUAUCUGCCAGCAACCUGGACACUGGAAAUCACAUGCUCCUGUGUGGGCUUGUCCUCUAUGCCAUGCCACAGAGGUCCGGCCUCACCAACAUGGGCAAGUGAAACUCUGCCAGCCUUCGAACUUCUCAGCCUUGCAGAGGAGUGAUGCUGCAGAGACUUGGUUUAUCCCAUAACCUAUCCAAGCCUAGGGUAAAGCUGCAGGUAACAGGUUCACUCCUCCUGCCAGAUGUGUGCCCAGGCCAGCCCACAAGGGGCUCUCCACAUAUGUCAGUCUCUACACCAGCUUCGCGGACACCAACUGGGCAAAGAUUGGCAGGUUGAUUUCACUCAUAUGCCUAUUCAUAAAAAACUCCAUUAUCUCUUAACACUUGUGGACACUUUUACAGGAUGGUUAGAAGCAUUUCCAGUCUCCAGGGAAACAGCAGAUGUGGUGGCUCAGGUACUCCUGGACCACAUCAUUCCUCGGUUUGGUGUCCCACGGACCAUCCAGAUGGACAAUGGGCUUCACUUCCAGGGUCAUGGAGCUCGUGUCAGAAGCUCUCAAUAUCUCCUGGAAAUUCCACACCUUCUACCAUCCAUAAUCCUCGGGAAAGGUGGACUCACUCAUCAAACAACAGCUAACCUAGCUCUCUAUCGAACUCAGGUUAUCUUGGCCCUCCCUUCUCCCCAUUGUCCUAACUUGCCUCAGGGUCACCCACACAUUCCCCUACUGGCCUGAGCCCUUUUGAGAAGCUUUAUGGCAGACCCUUUCUCCUUAACCAUCAUCUCCCAGUCCAAACUCCUUCACUGGCGGGAUACCUACCUUACCUCUCUCUUUUAAGGUCCCUUCUCCAUUCACACGCUGACAGUUGUCUCCCUGCCCCCACACCAGUGGACCCUAAUGCCCCUGAACCUGUCCUGCUCUCCCCUGGUUACUCCUCAAACAGUUAACUCCUAGGUCUCUCGAACCUCACACGGUAAUCCUCACCACCCCCUCGGCUGCCAAGCUCUUGGGACACCCAUGCUGGUACCACCUCUCCAGGCUCAAGUGGGCACCUACUCAGGACACUUGGUUUGUCCAGCAGACAGGACCUUCCACCCUCCGGUUUUCCAGGAUGCCACAAUGAAGGGCCGACCUGCUCCUCAUCCUGGCACACUCAUCUUUGAUGAUAAAUCAAGAGGAUAUAGCCUGGAAGAAGGAUUAUCCUCAUUCUUCCCCUCUUCCUUCAACAGUGGAUGCAUGUAGACCGCACUGUGCAAUAAAAAUCACUGAGUUAUAUAUUG